GGCUCAGAACGAACGCUGGCGGCGUGCUUAACACAUGCAAGUCGAACGCGAAAGGGGCUUCGGUCCUGAGUAGAGUGGCGCACGGGUGAGUAACGCGUAGAUAACCUGUCCUGGUGUCUGGAAUAACGUCUCGAAAGGGGCACCAAUACCGGAUAUUCUUGCUUUCUAUAAGGUAUGCAAGGAAAGGUGGCCUCUGGAACAAGCUACUGCACGAGGAGGGGUCUGCGUACCAUUAGCUAGUAGGUGGGGUAAUGGCCUACCUAGGCGACGAUGGUUAGCGGGUCUGAGAGGAUGAUCCGCCACACUGGCACUGGAAUACGGGCCAGACUCCUACGGGAGGCAGCAGUGAGGAAUAUUGCGCAAUGGGGGCAACCCUGACGCAGCGACGCCGCGUGAGUGAGGAAGGCCUUCGGGUCG
rnacentral:rRNA from 1 species